rnacentral:antisense_RNA from 1 species
CACAGAAAAUGCACCGCCCCGAGUGUCUUAUUGCUGUGAUGAAAUGGAAAUUUAAAUAAAAGGUCGAACACGUGCGUUCACUGGGAAGUAUUGACAUGGGUGUUACAUCACCAGCAGCCAAUCAGAUAACUCCAGUCGUGUUUAUACUUCUACAACCACCUUGUGAGUAUUACAGUAUGUCAUAACGUUAUAAAUAUUAGGCAGGGUUUUCCCCAGGAGCGGGGAGGAGUCUGCUUCUACGGACGUUGUGAGCGGCUCUGAAGAUUGUGUGUUUAAAGUCAACAAUUCAUUUUUAAGACUUUUUUCGAACUGUUUACAUUACAUGGACUUUAGAUUGAUUCUGACAGAAUGAACUGGAAAUGAAAUCCCACAGUUAUGAUCGUAGUAGAGUUUUUUUUUUUUCCAAUUUAGGGCCCUUAUACUCCUUUAAAAAAAUUUUAAUAUGCUAAAUUUAGCAAAUACUAAAGUGUUAAGACUCAUCUGACAAUGUGAGAAUUUAAGCCUAUUUCAGGUUAAGAAAAAAAAGAUGUUUUCAAGUUAUGGAGGGACUUUUUACUCUUAAGCGACAUAUGUAUUAGAAGUUGAAUCACGAACUGAUAAAAUGCUCCAGAUAAUUGUUGACUAAAAAAAAUACGGCAGGACAAAUUUUUUACAUUAAUACAUAUGUGCAGAAAAUGAGAAAUAUACAUGAACUCUUUACAGUUAUAGACUAUCUAAUGGGAAGGGUUAUGUUAAAGGCUUGAACCUCCUAAAUAUAUUAAUGUAAAUAAAGUUAUAUAUGUUUUAUGAAGAACAGGUGUUACAAUUUUUAGACCUAGUUUUAUGAUUCUUAUUCUCUUCAAAAGUUCUUUUUCUAUUUCAAAACCAAGAGCAAUAUGUAAAGCUUUGUAUAAUAUGGAAUAUGGUAUGUAUUUCAAGGUUACUUUAAAAAGCAAGCUUUGGCUGGUCCCAAGGUAGUGAAUUGUCUCAAUUGGUUAUUCACAGUUGGUUGCCCGUUGUACCACUCUUUCCCCACUUCCACUUGACUAGUCUUUUAAAAAUAAAUAAAUAUUUAAAUAAACAA